rnacentral:rRNA from 1 species
UACGAAGGGUGCAAGCGUUACUCGGAAUUACUGGGCGUAAAGAGCGCGCAGGCGGUCGUUCAAGUCGCGUGUGAAAGCCCCCGGCUCAACUGGGGAGGGUCACGCGAUACUGAUCGACUGGAAGGCAGGAGAGGGUAGUGGAAUUCCCGGUGUAGUGGCGAAAUGCGUAGAUAUCGGGAGGAACACCAGUGGCGAAGGCGACUACCUGGCCUGUUCUUGACGCUGAGGCGCGAAAGCUAGGGGAGCAAACGGG